GAUGAACGCUGGCGGCGUGCCUAAUACAUGCAAGUCGAGCGAACAGACGAGGAGCUUGCUCCUCUGACGUUAGCGGCGGACGGGUGAGUAACGCGUGGAUAACCUACCUAUAAGACUGGGAUAACUUCGGGAAACCGGAGCUAAUACCGGAUAAUAUAUUGAACCGCAUGGUUCAAUAGUGAAAGACGGUUUUGCUGUCACUUAUAGAUGGAUCCGCGCCGCAUUAGCUAGUUGGUAAGGUAACAGCUUACCAAGGCAACGAUGCGUAGCCGACCUGAGAGGGUGAUCGGCCACACUGGAACUGAGACACGGUCCAGACUCCUACGGGAGGCAGCAGUAGGGAAUCUUCCGCAAUGGGCGAAAGCCUGACGGAGCAACGCCGCGUGAGUGAUGAAGGUCUUCGGAUCGUAAAACUCUGUUAUUAGGGAAGAACAAAUGUGUAAGUAACUAUGCACGUCUUGACGGUACCUAAUCAGAAAGCCACGGCUAACUACGUG
rnacentral:rRNA from 1 species